UGGCGGCCUUAGCGCGGUGGUCCCACCUGAUCCCAUGCCGAACUCAGAAGUGAAACGCCGUAGCGCCGAUGGUAGUGUGGGGUCUCCCCAU
rnacentral:rRNA from 1 species